rnacentral:lncRNA from 10 species
GUUGUAUCUAUGGAAUAAAUUCCUAGAAAUAGAAUUGGGAGAGAUAUACAUUUGCAAUAAAUAUCACCAGACUGUCCUUUGUAGGCUUUGGCUUAUCACUUUAUAGCGUAAAAAUUUUUAUAAGAUAUAUCCUUACCUCAUACCAUAUAAAAAAUUAACUCAAAAUGAAACAAAAGCCUACAUGUAAGAGAAUACACAGGGAUAAAUCCUGAUGAUCUCAGAUUUGGCAACGGGUUCUUUGUUCUGAGAAUCCUGACUCCCUCACAGUGCGUGUCAGAAGCUCAAGCAACAAGAGAAAAACAUAGAUGAAAUGAAUUUCAACAAAAUUUUAAACUUUUGUGCAUUGAAGAACUCUAUCAAAAAAGUGAAAUGACAACCCACAGAAUGAGAGAAUAUGUUUGCCAACUGUAUAUGUCUGUUCAGGGUCUGUCUAAUAUUGUCCUGUGAUUUCCCAGAUUUUUUUUUUUGAGAUGGAGUCUCGCUCUGUUGCCCAGGCGGGAGUGCAGUGGCACGAUCUCAGCUCACUGAAACCUCUGCCUCCCAUGUUCAAGCCAUUCUCCUUUUUAAAAAACUGUUGAACAGUUAUUACCGUUUUGUGAUGAUUUGUAGAUAACAAAGAAAACAGCAUUAUUAACAUUGCAGGACAAUACUUCACACAUAGACUUUAAGGAAGUGAUAAGCCAACAUGUGAUUCUGUCACCAAGCAAAAAUAUCUCACCUUCAUGAACACUAAAAUCAUGUGUUACUCUUUUGAUUUGGCUUGGCAUAAAAAAAGAAAGACUUGAAUAUUCUUAAAAAAUAUUUUCUUGUUGUUUUCCAUUUUUCUAACAAUUGUCCUAACCAA